CGGGUACCGGAAAGCGGCAAACGGGUGCGUAACACGUAAGUAACCUGCCCUUAAGACGGGAACAGCUUGAUGAAAAUUAAGAUAAUGCCCGAUAUCCGCGUUACUUUCGCAUGAGAGAAGUCGGAAAGGUUUGUGAUGACGCUUAAGGAGGGGCUUGCGGCCUAUCGAGCGUUGUUGGCGGUGUGAAAGACCACCAAGGGUAAAGACGGGUAGCCGGUCUGAGAGGAUGGACGGCCACAUUGGAACUGAGAUACGGUCCAAACACCUACGGGUGGCAGCAGUUUCGAAUCAUUCACAAUGGGCGAAAGCCUGAUGAUGCGACGCCGCGUGGAAGGAUGAAGGUCUUCGGAUUGUAAACUCCUGUCGUCAGGGAGCAAAAAGUCGGUGAAGAAUCGACCUUGAGUUAACUUGAAGAGGAAGCAGUGGCAAACUCCGUGCCAGCCGCCGC
rnacentral:rRNA from 1 species